UGUGUUUAUGUGUUUAUGUUAAUGGUUAGAUAUUUAUGUACAGGUCAGAAGUAAGCUAAGUGCUAAGUGAUG